rnacentral:lncRNA from 1 species
GUUCAAGCGACUCUGCAGCCUCCUGAGUAGUAGCUGGGAUUACAGGAGCAAGUCACCACAUCCGGCUCUGUGUAUCCUGUUUUACAGAUGAGAAAAUAGAGAAGAUUAGAGGUGCAGACAGACGGAGUUUUACUCUUGCUGCCCAGGCUGGAGUGCAAUGGUAUGAUCCUGGCUCACCGCAACCUCCGCCUCCCAGGUUCAAGUGAUUCUCCUGCCUCAGCUUCCCAAGUAGCUGGGAUUACAGAUAAGAGAAAGGCCAGAUCCAACAAACAUUGACUGAGCCAUCACCAAAUGUGGGGCCCCGCGGCAGAGACUCGAAGGGUCGUUCUGCAUAAAAAAGUUGAUGACAGCAUAGCUUCGUUUAUACAGCUGGGACCCUCUGGAGUCUACAGAUGGAUUGUUAGAGAUGUGGCCUGCCAGCUGCCUUUGGAGAGUAGCCAAAUCUGCUGGGACCCAGCCACUUCAGGCACAGAUGUGCUUGCCUUUCCUGAAUGGAUGUCUUCCAGAAACGUUGGCUGUGAUGUCUGGUUUUUGUAUCUAUUGUUACUUCCAACGAAGACACAUAUACAAAAGACUCCUGGCUGCCUUUUAAAUGAAAACGUGCAGCAUAUUAGGAUCAAUCAUUUGUCUAAUGUUGACUUCCAGGAUGAAUUGCAAACUGUGCAACUCCAGAAGACUGUUCCUCAGGGGCUCAACUCCAAGCAGCUUGGAGUAUCAGAAAUUAACGGGAACCCUCUCACAGAAGAGUAUGGAACCUCUUGCUACACUUCACAUGCCCAACUCCAAAGGAGCAUUCGCUGGGAAACUGAACCCUAA